rnacentral:rRNA from 1 species
UACGUAGGGCGCAAGCGUUGUCCGGAAUUAUUGGGCGUAAAGAGCGUGUAGGCGGCCCGAUUAGUCCGCUGUGAAAGUCCAGGGCUCAACCCUGGAAUGCCGGUGGAUACUGUCGGGCUAGAGUCCGGAAGGGGCGAGUGGAAUUCCUGGUGUAGCGGUGAAAUGCGCAGAUAUCAGGAGGAACACCAAUGGCGAAGGCAGCUCGCUGGGACGUGACUGACGCUGAGACGCGAAAGCGUGGGGAGCAAACAGG